GCGUGUGUGUGUGUGCGUGCAUGUGUGUGUGCAUGUGCAUGUGCAUGUGUGUGUGUGUGCGUGUAUGUGUGUGCGUGCAUGUGUGUGUGCAUGUGCAUGUGUGCAUGUGUUGUGUAUGUGUGCAU
rnacentral:miRNA from 1 species